GGGGAAUAUUGCGCAAUGGGGGAAACCCUGACGCAGCAACGCCGCGUGAGCGAAGAAGGCCUUCGGGUCGUAAAGCUCUGUCUAGAGGGAUGAAAACUGACAGUACCUCUGGAGGAAGCCCCGGCUAACUACGUGCCAGCAGCCGCGGUAAUACGUAGGGGGCAAGCGUUGUCCGGAAUUACUGGGCGUAAAGGGCGCGUAGGCGGUAGAUUAAGUCAGAUGUGAAAGUCCAGGGCUUAACCCUGGAAUUGCAUUUGAAACUGGUUUACUUGAGUGCAGGAGAGGAGAGCGGAAUUCCUAGUGUAGCGGUGAAAUGCGUAGAGAUUAGGAAGAACACCAGUGGCGAAGGCGGCUCUCUGGACUGUAACUGACGCUGAGGCGCGAAAGCGUGGGGAGCGAAC
rnacentral:rRNA from 1 species